CUGACCGGUGCGAGGCGGUGCUGACCGGUGCGGGCCGGUGCGGGCCAGUGCAGGCCAGGCCCGGCCGGGGCGAGGCAGGUGGCCAGGUCCGAGGACCGCGUCGCACAGCAGCUUUCAGGACCUGGAGAGAAAUCGAGGUGAAGAAGGGAAGUCACUUGCUUCAUGGCCAGGGAAGGGCUCCAGCAAGACAUGGGCUCCUGAAAGUGACAGUGUGUGAAGGCCCGGAGAGGCACAGGACCUGGCCCCUCGCCCUCCUUGGAUUGCAGCAAGGAAAGAGGUGUGUCUUCCGCAGAAAAAUGUGCAUGUUCUUUUAGGUGUGUGGCCUCCGAGCAAGGUAUUUAGCCUGCCUCUAUGUGCUCACCUGGAAAAUGGGGUGAUGAAGAAGAUGAUGAUGAUAAUGGGAACUCCCUCUUGGAGCUGCUGUGCAGAUGAAGUUUCCUUCUAACAGUCAGGCCCCUCUGCUGCAAGUCUGCUGGAGUUUUCUGGAGGUCCACUCCAGACCUUGUUUGCCUGGGUAUCACCAGCCGAGGCUGCAGAACAGCAAAGAUUGCUGCCUGUUCCUUCCUUUGGAAGCUUUGUCCCAGGGAGGCACCCACCAGAUGCCAGCUGGAGCUCUUCUGUAUAAGGAAAAGUGGGCAAGUUUUGAGUUCAACGUGAGGCCUCAAGGAUGUGUGCAACCCAUGGUACUUGAAUUUACUUAUUGACUGUUUUUUGGAAAUCCUUAUUUCCCAAAACUCGUGGAAGGAGCUGACUUCUGGCAGGAAACGUGGAACUGGCAGCGUGUCGUGCAAGCAUCUGCAAUCCCAGUCCUGAGCUGGACUUCUCAGAGAGGCUGGGCAUUAUUUAUGGAGAUGUCGGAGUGACAGGGGGAACUUCUGGCCAGGAACUGCCGGUGGUGUCACAUCCUUAACCUGGCUGACAUCGGAACACCCUGGGGGGAGCAUUUCUCCAGGAAAGGAUGGUGGGUCAGGAGCCCGCAUGGUGUCUUUUCAAAGCAAUAAUAAAGAUAUCAGAAGGGC
rnacentral:lncRNA from 10 species